AUUGAGUGAAGGAGAUCUUUGCCACAUAGCCUCUUACAGUUAAAACCUAACAUACAUACUGAGGAAUUAUCUAGAAUGCUGCCACCUCUCCUGAUGUAACGGCCUGAGCACGUGGGCUCCGCGUUUCUGUCGAUCUCACGACAACAAACUUUUCAACAACUUUUCAAACCUCCGAC